AGAAUACUCCCUACGUCCGGAAAUACUUGUCCUAGGAAUUGAUGAAUCUAGACUUAUUUUAGUUAUAGAUCCAAUAUAUCCAUUUUUAGGACAAGUAUUUCCGGACGGAGGGAGUAUAAC
rfam:Hordeum vulgare subsp. vulgare, WGS project CAJW01000000 data, contig: morex_contig_1573085